ACACAAGAAGCUGGAAGCUUGAUCUCCCAUGAUCCCCAGAGAUCUACACAAAUCUCAAUGAAGCAAGGGGCAUCCCAAAUGGACUCCCUUGUCCCUGCUCUACCAUCCAGCCCCAUUGGUUCUUCCUGGCCCAUCAACAGCCCAACUUCUGCGAGAACCAUACUCCCAUUGGCUUCCUGCUAAAGAAGGGGUCGGGGGUAGUGGCAAUAUGAGUUAAUUCAGCAAAAGACUGUUUUAUUUUUCAAUUGUAAGCCCCACAGCUUGUGUGAGGAGAAGCUGGAGGAGCCUAGGUAGGUCUCUGAGCCCCUCAAGGCCUGCAGAGCUGCAGCCCCAAGGAGGUGCUUGGGGGAAGUGGAAGGGAAAGGAGUAUGUGCCUGAGGUGACCACAAAAUUCCUGAGGUGCAGGACAAAGUCAAAACCUACCAGAUUCUUAGGCCCCAGUUCAGCAAAGCAUUUGAGCAUAUGCUUAAGUGCUUUGCUGUAUCAGGGCCUUAAUUAGUUCAUCCCAGCUGAGUAGAAAAUUAAAACCUUUGAUCCCAAGAGAUGUUGCCCAUCCACAACUCCCAGUGAAGUCUACGGACACUGCAGGUGCUCAGCACCUAUCAGGAUCAAGGCUAUAAAGUAUCACUCCUCUUCCCAACACAGUCUAUUUUGUGUAUACCAUUUUCAAAGAAACAUCUGUGAUCACUUCACUGGACUCUCCUCUGCUCCCUUUUCAGAAGACGAUUGUUGCUGGUAACUGAAAUGAGUUCUCCCAUUUGUGAGACCAAAAGCCACUGCAGUCACACUGAAAUGAGAAACACUAAUGCUUACUGAGCAGUUUUAACCCUCACUAGGUAUAUACCCUAGUGCUAACUAAAAUGAGCACUAAUUUUGUAUAAAAGUAUCUAGGGCCUAAUCUUGUUGCCACUGAAGUCAGUGGGAGCAUAAUUCAUAAAUUCAUUUGAGGCCAGAAGGGACCAUUAUGAUCACAUAGUCUGACCUCCUGCAUAACACAAGGCAAUGAACCUCCCCCAGUAAUUUCUGCUUCAAGCCCAUAACUUCUGUUUGAACUAUAGCAUAGCUAUUAAAAGAUAACCAGUCUUGAUUUAAAGAACUCAAGUGAUGGAGAAUCCAUCACCUCCCUAGAUAAAUUGUUCUAAUGGUUAAUUGCCCUCACUGUUAGUCACAAUAAUCAUGUGAAGCGCAGAUCCAAUUAUGAAAGGGAAAAUGUGCUCAUUUUAGCUGUCACUAUGUGUCUGUAGUGUGCUGUAUACAUGUGCUUUUGUACUAAAAUGCAGGAAUGCACACCCAUUGUAAUAAAACACCCCAUUCUAGAAGCAUUCUUAUUACCAGUGUAAAAUUAAAAAUGGAUGUGGAUUAAUGUUAAUUAUCAGAUCACACAGUGCUAAUUAGCAACGUUCUGCAUAAGAGUUAGUUUAAUUUAGGGAUGACACUGCUUUUCUACUGAUAGCGAAUAAUGACAAAUUGUAUUUAGAAAGAUUACAAAAUCCAGCAUAGGGUUAGGCAGCAGGAGCUCAGUUAGUUACUGGGCAGCUUUGGCUGUCUUACACUCUGUGGUACUUCCAGUCCUGUGUGCAGAGUCACCUGUGCAGAAAAGAAAUAACUGCUUAGUUAAAAUACAAAUUAGGACAUCCUUAGUACAGAGAGUUUGUGAAGGCCAAGAAUAUGUGGUUAAUGGUGAAAAGCUAAUGUCACCAGGGGAGGGCCAACGUACAAAUGAUUCUUCCCCUGAGGUCAGGUCUACACUACAAACUUACACUGGUAUAACUACGUUGCUCAGGGGGGUGAACAAUCCAUGAAGUAAGCAGAGCGUCUCUCACCGACAUAGCUACUGCCUCUUGCAGAGGUGGAUUAACUACGCUGACAGGAGAAGCUCUCCCGUCGGUGUAGUAGCGUGGUAUCUUCACUAAAGCAAUACAGUGGCGAAGCUGCACUGGUGCGGCACUGCAGCUUUUUAAGCGUAAAGCUGCCCUGAGUGUAGCUGCCAGGUGUUUGUGACUCUUCCCAAGGCUAGCAACCAUUUAUCAGCCACCCCUGAGCCAGCUGCUUCUUGUCAGCAGGAAGGGUGACCCCAGAUGGAAUGGGUGCCCAAGGGGUUAUGAGGCAGGUGGAAAGUGGACUGGGGAGAGGGUCUCCUCAAGUAUACAAAGCAGAGUCUUGUAGACAUUUCCCUGCUACCCUGUCAGUGUAGGACACAGAAGGUUUUACAGGUCUCACCAUAGCCUGACACCUCUAUCACCUAGAGUUCUGACAAUGGCAUCCAUCACUGUAGGAUCUGAGCACUUCCCAGGAGCUCUCACAAGCUUAAACUCACAAAAGGGUUCUCCUCCACCCCCUCGUCUGCAUCUAGUUCCCUGAGGAGGGCAGAGGGAAUGGAGGGCAUGUCGUGACAGCAGGGGUGUAGCAGACUGGCUGGGGCGCCUGGGCAAUGGGUGGGGGGGGAAUUGGAUUGCAGCACUAGAACUACCAGAAAGGCGCUAACAAGCCAUGUAACGUCAAUAUCAUUUUCCUAGUACCGGGUGUCUGUCUGGUCUAUUUAGAUUGUAUCAUCUGUGGGGGAAGAACUAUGGAUUAGAUUUGUAAAGGAAUUUAGGAUGCCUAAAGAUACAGAUAGGUGCCUAGUGGGAUUUUCAUAUGGAAAAUGGGACUUAGGCACUUUUGAAAAUACCAAUAGGUGCCUAUCUGCAUCUUGAGGUAUCUAAGAACCUUUGUCUAAGAAAAUCUGACCUGUGUCUUUCUGUGUUUUAGUAUACCACCUAGUACACAGAUUCAUAGAUUCCAAGGCCAGAAGGGACCAUUGUGAUCAUUUAGCCCAAUCUCCUGUAUAACACAGGCCACAGAAGUUCCCCACAAUAAUUCCUGCUUGAACUAGAUCAUAUCUUUAAAAAAAAAUCCAGUGGAACCUCGAUCUUGACUGGCAUAUUUGGGCACCAUUAAUAACAAAUUAUUAAAAUAUUAUUAAUAUAA